UUACCAACCCGAUGCAAACUGCGAAUACCGGAGAAUGUUAUCACGGGAGACACACGGCGGGUGCUAACGUCCGUCGUGAAGAGGGAAACAACCCAGACCGCCAGCUAAGGUCCCAAAGUCAUGGUUAAGUGGGAAACGAUGUGGGAAGGCCCAGACAGCCAGGAUGUUGGCUUAGAAGCAGCCAUCAUUUAAAGAAAGCGUAAUAGCUCACUGGUCGAGUCGGCCUGCGCGGAAGAUGUAACGGGGCUAAACCAUGCACCGAAGCUGCGGCAGCGACACUGUGUGUUGUUGGGUAGGGGAGCGUUCUGUAAGCCUGUGAAGGUGUGUCGUGAGGCAUGCUGGAGGUAUCAGAAGUGCGAAUGCUGACAUAAGUAACGAUAAAGCGGGUGAAAAGCCCGCUCGCCGGAAGACCAAGGGUUCCUGUCCAACGUUAAUCGGGGCAGGGUGAGUCGACCCCUAAGGCGAGGCCGAAAGGCGUAGUCGAUGGGAAACGGGUUAAUAUUCCCGUACUUGGUGUUACUGCGAAGGGGGGACGGAGAAGGCUAUGUUGGCCGGGCGACGGUUGUCCCGGUUUAAGCGUGUAGGUGUGUGUUCCAGGUAAAUCCGGUUCACUUUAACACUGAGGCGUGACGACGAGGCACUACGGUGCUGAAGCAACAAAUGCCCUGCUUCCAGGAAAA
rnacentral:rRNA from 1 species